UUAGCAGCACCUGCCCAUUUUCACAAUAAAACAAUGCUAACUGAACUUAAGAAAUUAUAAUGUACAUAAUCUAACCUUGAAAAGAAAUAUUUGUAUCAAUUAUUUGGUACAAAGAUAUGUAUUAUGUAUACCGCCAUAGUUGCCAACAAAUUAAUCAAUAAUUCAAUAAUAUAGUAUAUAACUCUACCGCAGCAGUCUGCAUAUGUAAUUCUUCACUUGUUUUUCCCAGAUUUCUUCUUGUCCCUUCCUAGAACACAAGUAUUUGGCGGAUAUAAGCCUCCAUCACUUUGAGAAUAUGACUGGGACGACAAAGAUGUCUUCUUGUCCCUUCCUAGAGCACUCUGAGCGUUUCGCGGAUACAAGCCUCCACCACUAUGAGAAUAUGACUUGGACGACGAAGAUCUCUUCUUGUCCCUUCCUAGAACACUCUGAGCAUUUGGCGGAUUCGAAUCUCCACCAGAAGACGUAUUUGCUAAUGAUCACCUUAAUUAAACUUGUACAGAGAAGGUAUAAAGAGGAGAUCGAGUUUUGGCUUUUGCAUUGAAUGUUUGGAAUUUAUAGCCGAUUGGAGGGUUCGUAUCUUGCGGUUUGGUUUCCCCAGAAGUACCAAGAAAUUAAAGUAACCUAACCGCAUAAGUAAACACAAUUAUUUGCUUAAUUGUAAUUCCUUUUUCUAUAUUUCCAGCUGCAUGCCGGGUGGUCGGAUGAGGUGAGGUGAACUGGUUCUUA
rnacentral:lncRNA from 1 species